rnacentral:rRNA from 1 species
GACGAACGCUGGCGGCGUGCUUAACACAUGCAAGUCGAACGGAAAGGCCCCUUUGGGGGUACUCGAGUGGCGAACGGGUGAGUAACACGUGAGUAACCUGCCCUUGACUUCGGGAUAACUUCAGGAAACUGGGGCUAAUACCGGAUAGGAAUCCUUGCUGCCUGGUGGGGGUUGGAAAGUUUCGGCGGUUUUGGAUGGACUCGCGGCUUAUCAGCUUGUUGGUGGGGUAGUGGCUUACCAAGGCUUUGACGGGUAGCCGGCCUGAGAGGGCGACCGGCCACAUUGGGACUGAGAUACGGCCCAGACUCCUACGGGAGGCAGCAGUGGGGAAUAUUGCACAAUGGGCGGAAGCCUGAUGCAGCAACGCCGCGUGCGGGAUGACGGCCUUCGGGUUGUAAACCGCUUUCAGCAGGGGCGAAGCUUGUGGUGACGGUACCUGCAGAAGAAGCACCGGCUAACUACGUG